GCGAACGGGUGAGUAACACGUGAGCAACCUGCCCUGGACUCUGGGAUAAGCGCUGGAAACGGUGUCUAAUACUGGAUAUGAGCUCUCAUCGCAUGGUGGGGGUUGGAAAGAUUUUUCGGUCUGGGAUGGGCUCGCGGCCUAUCAGCUUGUUGGUGAGGUAAUGGCUCACCAAGGCGUCGACGGGUAGCCGGCCUGAGAGGGUGACCGGCCACACUGGGACUGAGACACGGCCCAGACUCCUACGGGAGGCAGCAGUGGGGAAUAUUGCACAAUGGGCGGAAGCCUGAUGCAGCAACGCCGCGUGAGGGAUGACGGCCUUCGGGUUGUAAACCUCUUUUAGCAGGGAAGAAGCGAGAGUGACGGUACCUGCAGAAAAAGCGCCGGCUAACUACGUGCCAGCAGCCGCGGUAAUACGUAGGGCGCAAGCGUUAUCCGGAAUUAUUGGGCGUAAAGAGCUCGUAGGCGGUUUGUCGCGUCUGCUGUGAAAUCCCGAGGCUCAACCUCGGGCCUGCAGUGGGUACGGGCAGACUAGAGUGCGGUAGGGGAGAUUGGAAUUCCUGGUGUAGCGGUGGAAUGCGCAGAUAUCAGGAGGAACACCGAUGGCGAAGGCAGAUCUCUGGGCCGUAACUGACGCUGAGGAGCGAAAGGGUGGGGAGCAAACAGGCUUAGAUACCCUGGUAGUCCACCCCGUAAACGUUGGGAACUAGUUG
rnacentral:rRNA from 1 species